CUAUGCCCUGGUACAAUGAGGCUUGGUGCUUAGCAGCAGAGGGGCAUCAUCCGGGUACCAGACUAAACCAAUAAUUUUCAGGUUUUAAGUAUGUGAUGAUGGGAGAGAAGAAAAACAUAGAAAAUUAUAAACACAGCUGAGAACUCUAGUGAGACACUGCACGAAGGAUGGUGAUACCUUUUCAUGUUUCCAUGUCUGACUCUUGCCGAAGCAACCAGGGAAAGUGUUUUUAAUCCUCUCAAUUUCCCGUAUCAUGGGUCGGCGGAGCGUUGGCUGGUAACGCGAUUAUGGCUCUUUUCCUUUUCCCAACUUAAGAGAAACUAGACAUGAAAGAGAAAGACUGAAUGAAGACCAGAAUAGUCAGUACUAAUUCAUUUUUUCCCCCAAAUGGCUGAACGCUCGCUGCACUAAUUGCUGUACGUUCAAGGCAAUCAGCAUUACUACACUGUGAAAAUGUCAGAGUUUCCGAGCCAAGGUGCUGUAUGGGCUGUUUUGCCCGAUUUCUCUCUACAUGGCCAUUUUCUGAGCACAGGGGUUUAUGCAGCUUUUAACGCAACGUUCAGCCAAACUGCUGCUUCACAACUGAUUCAGUCAGCACUUUGGCUGAUUGAUAACUCCUUUUUUGUGGGAUUGCGCUCUAUUAAAUAAUACCGAAAGGUUAGUAUAUAUCUUCAAUCCUCAUUGAUUUUCUGUUAAACGAGAGUGACUUAGCUCCUUUUAGCCCGGUUUGGUUGGAAAAAUAAAAAUUCUUCCACCGUCAACCACAAUUUCAGAUCUGUCUUCUGAACACUUCACCUGAAAAAGAGUUUUUAAACUAUGAUUUGCAUGUUAAGAUUAAAAAGAACAUCACCGAGGUGAUGGUGCUGAGCGCUUGUGCUGCCUCGCAGAAGUUGGCGGGACUGAACAGGGUUAUAUAGACUCCAUGCAAAACUUUUGGAAGUGCAGCUGAGUGCUUGCAAAUCCAGCUGAAAUAAACUGCAGCUGAGGCGAAUCGCUUUGAUAUCAGGCUUUUAACCUAAAGGUCGUUUUUAGCAAUUGCAUUAAUUUCAACAAUUCUGAAGAAAAUGGCCACAGAACAAACAGCUGAAGCAGAUAUUACUCAUUUUUGAGGCUUAAUGAAUCAACAAAAAAGGUCAGUUCUCAAUUCCAGAUGAUAAUUUUCUCCCCUUUUUAAGUAUAUUUUAUGUACUUGAAUAAAGAUGAAGGAAAUUAAAAUACGAUUGCAGGUGCCUAGCUCUGCUUGAGCUGUCUUGGCCACUGCUUUCACUUGAAGCGACACGGCUGGAUUUGAACUUGCACCCUUUAAAAACCAGGAGAGCAAAGAAAUUAAAUUAAGUUGUGCCUCUGGGGUUUGAGAUGAGUUCAGAAUGGGUUUUUUUUUUCAAAUAACACAUUAGUUCCACAGCUCUGUUAUAAAACUAAGUGACAGAUAAUGUGUUUUGAUGUUCCAACACACAGCAACCAGCUUUUGGAGACGUCUGUGCGCCGCUUUGUGCACGAGUCGUCCUCCUGAACUUAACAGGGCUAUUCACAUGCUUGACAUUAAGCGUGUAUGCAAAUCUUUGCGAGACUGGAACCUAAUGUGAUUAUAAUAAGCCAAUUCCAGUGCGAAUCUAAGAGUAUAGAGUUUCAAAACUGAGGUCAAAAUGAAAAAGUUUGCAAAAGUUGGUCAUAUUUAAAAAAAAAAAAAAAA